GUCCCUGUGGUUCAAUGGAUAGAACAGAGGCCUCCGGAGCCUCAGAUGUAGGUUCGAUUCCUACCAGGGGCACCA
rnacentral:tRNA from 1 species